AUGACCUCCACCAUGGCCUGGGCCCCUCUCCUCCUCACCCUCCUGGCUCACUGCACAGGUUCCUGGGCCCAGCCUGUGCUGACUCAGCCGUCCUCAGUGUCGGGGGCCCCGGGCCAGAGGGUCACCAUCUCCUGCACUGGAAGCAGCUCCAACAUUGGGGGUAAUACUGUGCACUGGUACCAACAGGUCCCAGGAAAGGCCCCCAAAUUUCUCAUUUAUGGUAACAGUAGACCCUCAGGGGUCCCUGACCGAUUCUCUGGCUCCAAGUCUGGCAACUCUGCCUCCCUGACCAUCACGGGGCUGCAGGCUGAGGACGAGGCCGAUUAUUUCUGUGGGUCCUAUGACAGCAGUAUCAGCGGUGCCACAGUGCUGCAGGCCCGUGGGGAACUGAGACAAAAACCCCUCUGCUCUGUGAGGGCCUCCAUUGGUUGUCAGCGAAAAUUGCCUGCAUUUGUGGCCCAGGGUGAGAGCCCCAUUGUCAUUUUGACCAUUGGAAGCUGGGGUCUCUGCUCCCUCACUGUGCCCCCAGGCUGGUCACCCCGUGACCUGAAGCUGCGGGUCUGCUGCUGA